rnacentral:rRNA from 1 species
UGGCUCAGAACGAACGCUGGCGGCAGGCCUAACACAUGCAAGUCGAACGGUAGCACAGAGAGCUUGCUCUCGGGUGACGAGUGGCGGACGGGUGAGUAAUGUCUGGGAAACUGCCCGAUGGAGGGGGAUAACUACUGGAAACGGUAGCUAAUACCGCAUAACGUCGCAAGACCAAAGUGGGGGACCUUCGGGCCUCACACCAUCGGAUGUGCCCAGAUGGGAUUAGCUAGUAGGUGGGGUAAUGGCUCACCUAGGCGACGAUCCCUAGCUGGUCUGAGAGGAUGACCAGCCACACUGGAACUGAGACACGGUCCAGACUCCUACGGGAGGCAGCAGUGGG